rnacentral:rRNA from 1 species
AUUGAACGCUGGCGGCAUGCUUUACACAUGCAAGUCGAACGGUAACAGGCCGCUAGGUGCUGACGAGUGGCGCACGGGCGAGUAAUGCAUCGGAACGUGCCCAGUCGUGGGGGAUAACUACUCGAAAGAGUAGCUAACACCGCAUACGAUCUAUGGAUGAAAGCGGGGGACCGUAAGGCCUCGCGCGAUUGGAGCGGCCGAUGUCCGAUUAGGUAGUUGGUGGGGUAAAGGCUCACCAGGCCAACGACCUGUAGCUGGUCUGAGAGGACGAGCAGCCACACUGGGACUGAGACACGGCCCAGACGCCUACGGGAGGCAGCAGUGGGGAAUUUUGGACAAUGGGCGCAAGCCUGAUCCAGCAAUGCCGCGUGCAGGAAGAAGGCCUUCGGGUUGUAAACUGCGUUUGUACGGAACGAAACGGCUCUGGUUAAUACCCGGGGCUAAUGACGGUACCGGAAGAAUAAGCACCGGCUAACUACGUG